GUUGUUGCCGAAUCAGUGACGACGUGUUCCUCAGUGCUUGUUCCUCGAUCGGUGCCGCAGCUUCCAUUACUUUUGGUGUAAAGGCUGAUGGAGCUGUGUACGGGCGAUUGCGCAUGUACUUGGCUAUUCAUUUUUUAAAGUGGGAUCCGUAUUUUAAUUUUUUUUUUGCGGUUGAAGAUUCCUUUUCCAAGAUUUGAGGGCCCCCAUGCUAACCGGAUAUAUUGAAGAGACCUGCCCUACUGGCCACUGCACCUCGAGAUACUGUAUUAUUUCAAAAAUAAAGUAUUGGGACCCACCAAUCUCUAUGGGAUUGAAAAAAAUAUAGCAAUGGUAGUCUAGAUUUGUCUGGUCUCUCUCAGUUGCUCUCUCUACCCUGCACGAGCAACUCAGGCGGUGAAAAACCCUCGUUAUCAACCACCUGUCCACCUCCCCUUCCCUACUGGCUACUCUCGCCUCUGCCUGAGUGUGGUGCCAGGAGCGCGUGUGGCUCCCUAGGACGAUGGAGGCGAGCACUCACCCAUGUUGAUUGCAUUGCCGCAAGCCCCUAAGUGCAGGGCGGAUCUCGGUGGCUACGAUGAUGCUUGGCAGCGGAGGCGACGAUGUGGUUUGGCUCGACGGGAGCAGCACACAGAGGUGUGGAGGGAGCUACAUGUAGAGGCUUGGCAGAGGUGGAGGUGCCCAUAUUCCAGACGCUUCCUGGCAACAUAUAAGGACAACUUUCUAGCAACAUGGAAUGACUGGGAGAUCCGCAUGCUUGUGCUCAGCAGUCCCGCCCUCCACCAGGUGUCUCUCCUCUUCUCCGCCGUGCUGAUCCUGCUUCUAUAGCUGGCCUACCUGCUCGCGUACUCCAUCUGCUUCGAGCGCACCCACCGCAUCCAGACCUUCUGGGCACCAUUCCUCCUCCACCUCGGCGGCCAGGACACCAUCACCGCCUGCCUUCUCCACCGAAGACAACGACGUGCUCUGGAAGCGCCACCUGCUCAGCCUCCUCACCUAGAUGGCCUGAUGCUCCACAGCAGUAUCCUGGAAACACCCUCCUAUGAUGAGUGGAAGAAUAAUUUCCCAGACCAAGAAACAGAGGAAGAUCAACCCAUCAUAGGCCACUCUAUCAUCCAUGGUGUGCACAAGGAUAUCCGUGUAUCAGCAUGCCGCUAUGCUCACCACCACACAGUAAGCCAUUAGUCAUGAAGAUGGCCUGAUGCUCCACAGCAGUAUCCUGGAAACACCCUUCUAUGAUGAGUGGAAGAAUAAUUUCCCAGACCAGGAAACAGAGGAAGAUCAACCCAUCAUAGGCCAUCUAUCAUCCAUGGUGUGCACAAGGAUAUCCGUGUAUCAGCACGCCGCUAUGCUCACCACCACACACGAAGCCAUUAGUCAUGAAGGUCCUCACCGUUCCUCCGCACCGCCGGCCAGGUGCAUCACAACCCACCUAUUUAGUAACUACUAAUGAUGUGGACUCCACUAGCGUUUGGGUCCAGCCUCUGGAUGACAAAAAAUAAAGGUUAGAUUUUUAGAUAUAUGGGAACUAGCUGGCUUGCCCACGCUGCAACGACAUGUUUUGCGCUUUCUCCAAUGGCUAUAGGUACGUUUGGAUUUUUGUGGUCCACAAAUAGCAGCAAUUCUAUGCUUUCUUGCUUGAUACAGUGUGGCGGAUGACGACUUGCUUCUACUUGUACGGCUGGCCCAUCGGAUCCUCAGCGCUUUCUGUUCAUUUUGGUCGGGAACAAGAUUGAUUUAGAUGGCGGGAGCAAACGGAUGGUUCCGGAGAAGAAAGCGAGGGAAUGGUGCGCCUCCAAGGGUGAUAUUCCAUACUUCGAGACCUCUGCGAAGGAGGUCCACAACGUCGACACUGCUUUCCUAUGCAUCGCUAGGCUCGCCUUGGAGCAUGAGCAUGACCAAGACAUGUUGCCAAAUCCUGGCGACUCCCAGAUUGAUUUGCGGUUCUAAUAUAGAUAUGGAUCUACUAGGAGAAGCUUUAAUACGCUCGAUACCUGGCAUGAUGAGUUCCUCAAUCAAGUAAGCCACAUCUCCCACGAGCAUGUAUCUUUCUGGAUGUCUGGUUACAAUAGCAGCUACUCAUGUGGUUGAGAAUAAAAUACAAAAGAUAAAGAUAAAUAUUCAGAUGAUCGUCAGUAUAGUCUCAUCCACGACAAGUUCAUUAUGAUUUACAUAGACUUCAUUUUUACAUCCAAAAU